UACUGAAUCUACAAAACAGAAUUUCACCAAGAAGGACUGCACAUAAACCACAAAAGCAACUCAUGGACAAGAGCUGCUCUUAUUGCAGUGUCCGCAGGUGUCUGUCUCCCAGAGACUCCCCGUGAGUUGUAAACUCUGCACUAGGACUCCCUGCUGGAGAUGCCAGAGAGAUGCGUGAAUCUGUGUCACUCAGUGUCCAGGGGGGCAGAGACUCGGGCCCCGCCAGCUCCGAUGGGGUGGAAAAAAAGGAAAGCCUGGAACAUGACAAGAAAGGCCCAUCUGUUGCCAAAGGGGCCAAACAGCUGAUGAAACCCACGAUGCCCCCUCCUCAGCAGCAGCAGCAGCAGCAGCAGCAGCAGCAGCAGGAGCAGCUUUACUUUGCCCCACAUACUCACAUGUCUCGUCCAAAGCACCACAACAUAGAGAGACGUCCUCUGAAGUGACCAGGGCAACUCCCCAGACUUACCUUUGGAUAAAUUCUGCUAUUGGUCGUGUCAUCUUUCGUCAGACCAAGGUUCUUGGUUUUCAGAAACUCUUUAAAGGAGAAUGGAUUUGCCUCUUCAAGGUCUUCCAGUUUGUCAUCUGAAAGAAUGGACAUCAGGGAGACUGUUAAAGGGGAACCCUCCAAGUCCUCUCUUCCAAGCAUGACCACAUCAUCUCAAGAAUGCCAUCCUCUGUACCUUGUGACUCAGAUGAUACCAGUAAACAAGAACUGCCAGAAAAGGGAUCAAUAAACAGAUCUCAAUUCUU